rnacentral:rRNA from 1 species
UGGGGAAUAUUGGACAAUGGGCGAAAGCCUGAUCCAGCCAUGCCGCGUGUGUGAAGAAGGUCUUCGGAUUGUAAAGCACUUUAAGUUGGGAGGAAGGGCAGUAAGCGAAUACCUUGCUGUUUUGACGUUACCGACAGAAUAAGCACCGGCUAACUCUGUGCCAGCAGCCGCGGUAAUACUGAGGGUGCAAGCGUUAAUCGGAAUUACUGGGCGUAAAGCGCGCGUAGGUGGUUCGUUAAGUUGAAUGUGAAAACCCCGGGCUCAACCUGGGAACUGCAUCCAAAAAUGGCGAGCUAGAGUAGGGCAGAGGGUGGUGGAAUUUCCUGUGUAGCGGUGAAAUGCGUAGAUAUAGGAAGGAACACCAGUGGCGAAGGCGACCACCUGGGCUCAUACUGACACUGAGGUGCGAAAGCGUGGGGAGCAAACAGG